GAUGAACGCUGGCGGCGUGCCUAAUACAUGCAAGUCGAGCGAACGGACGAGAAGCUUGCUUCUCUGAUGUUAGCGGCGGACGGGUGAGUAACACGUGGAUAACCCACCUAUAAGACUGGGAUAACUUCGGGAAACCGGAGCUAAUACCGGAUAAUAUUUUGAACCGCAUGGUUCAAAAGUGAAAGACGGUCUUGCUGUCACUUAUAGAUGGAUCCGCGCUGCAUUAGCUAGUUGGUAAGGUAACGGCUUACCAAGGCAACGAUGCAUAGCCGACCUGAGAGGGUGAUCGGCCACACUGGAACUGAGACACGGUCCAGACUCAUACGGGAGGCAGCAGUAGGGAAUCUUCCGCAAUGGGCGAAAGCCUGACGGAGCAACGCCGCGUGAGUGAUGAAGGUCUUCGGAUCGUAAAACUCUGUUAUUAGGGAAGAACAUAUGUGUAAGUAACUGUGCACAUCUUGACGGUACCUAAUCAGUAAGCCACGGCUAACUACGUG
rnacentral:rRNA from 1 species